CCUACGGGAGGCUGCAGUGGGGAAUAUUGCACAAUGGGGGAAACCCUGAUGCAGCGACGCCGCGUGAGUGAAGAAGUAAUUCGUUAUGUAAAGCUCUAUCAGCAGGGAAGAAAAUGACGGUACCUGAGUAAGAAGCCCCGGAUAACUACGUGCCAGCAGCCGCGGUAAUACGUAGGGGGCAAGCGUUAUACGGAUUUACUGGGUGUAAAGGGGGCGUAGACGGCAGUGCAAGUCUGGAGGGAAAGGCGGGGUCUCAAACCCCGGAGUGCUGUUGAAACUGUACGGCUGGAGUGCAGGAGAGGUAAGUGGAAUGCCUAGUGUAGCGGUGAAAUGCGUAGAUAUUAGGAGGAACACCAGUGGCGAAGGCGGCUUACUGGACUGUAACUGACGUUGAGGCUCGAAAGCGUGGGGAGCAAACAGGAUUAGAUACCCGUGUAGUC
rnacentral:rRNA from 1 species